rnacentral:rRNA from 1 species
ACGAACGCUGGCGGCGUGCCUAAUACAUGCAAGUUGAGCGCUGAAGGUUGGUACUUGUACCGACUGGAUGAACAGCGAACGGGUGAGUAACGCGUGGGGAAUCUGCCUUUGAGCGGGGGACAACAUUUGGAAACGAAUGCUAAUACCGCAUAAAAACUUUAAACACAAGUUUUCAGUUUGAAAGAUGCAAUUGCAUCACUCAAAGAUGAUCCCGCGUUGUAUUAGCUAGUUGGUGAGGUAAAGGCUCACCAAGGUGAUGAUACAUAGCCGACCUGAGAGGGUGAUCGGCCACAUUGGGACUGAGACACGGCCCAAACUCCUACGGGAGGCAGCAGUAGGGAAUCUUCGGCAAUGGACGAAAGUCUGACCGAGCAACGCCGCGUGAGUGAAGAAGGUUUUCGGAUCGUAAAACUCUGUUGGUAGAGAAGAACGUUGGUGAGAGUGGAAAGCUCAUCAAGUGACGGUAACUACCCAGAAAGGGACGGCUAACUACGUG